GCGAGCGGGGCGGUUGAGGAUCGCGGCAAGGGCAUAGCGACCUAGGUAGUGGACUCCUAUGGCAUUAGUUGUACCCUUUAUGUUCAUCUUUUGUUUUGAUGAAAAGGACUUGUAUAAAUGUUAACUUGGGAGGUGUAUCAUGUAUAUAAUGAUGUAUGAAAAAAAGAGUUGUAUUUUGGUUAAAGUAAUCAAAGUUCAAUGUAUGGAUGUAAUAGAUAGAUUUA
rnacentral:lncRNA from 1 species